AGCGUUGCUCGGAAUUACUGGGCGUAAAGGGAGCGUAGGCGGACAUUUAAGUCAGGGGUGAGAUCCCAGAGCUCAACUCUGGAACUGCCUUUGAUACUGGGUGUCUUGAGUGUGAUAGAGGUAUGUGGAACUCCGAGUGUAG
rnacentral:rRNA from 1 species